UGAUGAUGAUGAUGAUGAUGAUGAUGAUGAUGAUGGUGAUGGAUUUGCUCAAUCGAAUGUGUUGUACAAGAAGAAUCAUCAGCAUAUUCAGCAGCACAUCAGCUUAUUCU
rnacentral:miRNA from 1 species